CCCUCACCUGCACAUAACCUGUACAUGUAUAUAUAGAUAGUAUCUGGAUGUCUGUAUAAGCCUACCCGUCUCUCCACCUGUCUUCUUCAAUUGUCUCUUUACCUGUCUCUCCCUGCGUCUCUACCCAUGUAUCUCACCGUCUCUCUCCCUGUCUCCCUCUCUCUCUUUCCGGUUCCGGUGAGUAACAUGAGAGGUGAGAGGUGUUGGUGCGAGUGGCGGAGUUUUUCAAUCGGUUUUGAGUUUCUGAGAAUAAUCUAGUGUGCUGACCAGGUGAGUUUCCAAACUGACUGUUUUUGAUCGAUUGGAGGUUUGUUGAGGUGCCCUCGGAGGAAUGGCGUCCUCCGAGAUGCCACCUCUCUCUCUCCGGCAGGGAGUAAGGAUUGUCCCGCCGGAUAACGCGAUCACUGUGGAGAAGGUGUUGCUGGCUGUCGGGGAGCAGGUGUCCCCACUGACAGCGGAUCAUCACGGAUCAUCGUGUCCAGUGUUCCCGCCGUUCAUCCCAAAUGAAGCGAUAAGUAACGAGCUGCGGAGGUUUAGGUUUAAGGAAUAAAAACGGUGAAUCUGGGAUUUAAAGAUCCCAAGCUGAGACAUGUCCAGUCUCUGAGGCGGCAGGUGUUCAUGUUCCUGGACUCACCUGUUCAGAGCCUGGACGUCUCCUUCAGGGUGAAGCACGGCGACAGUGCCUACGUGGUGUACGCCAGCUCCAGGAAUUUGACGGCGCGGCGGCUGUUGCCAUUGACUCACAACUUGAGGACGAGGUGCAGAAGAACCAAGCAAAGGAGCAACAGGUUGCUGUUGCUGUAAAGACCAUCCGCUCUCAUUUUGAAGAGAACAUGGGGCAAGAGGCUUCCACGAGCAUGAAGGACCUCACUGCGGCUACAAUUGAAGUGCAGGGGGUCUAAAAUAGCCAGUACACCUCACACUCCACUGCUAGGGUAAAGGCAGCAGUCCAGGAGCUGAAGGCCAGCAUCAGGACAAUUGAGGAGGGGCUACACAGGGGUUCAAAUCCUGUUACCGUGCAGCUGUGAAAAAGAAAUAGGCUGGAGUUGCGCUCCUUCUUUCAGGAGAGGGUGAAGGGAGCUCUAGUCACGUCUCGUUUCCUACAGCUGAAAGACAUGGACGCCCCGACUUCCUUCUUUUUCAAUCUGGAGAGGUUGCUGAUUUUUUCAAGCGCUUCCGGAUUAUCCUUGGUUCAGGAUUCUUAUUCAACCAGAUUUGACCCUUGUUCGUCUGAAUUGUUUCAGAACAGGAUCUCCUCCUGUCUCCUGUCAGCGAGCGGUGCUUUCUCUGCUGCCAAAAAAAAGGAGACCGGGCAUUACUGAAGAACUUGAG